UUAUGAAAAGGAUCCAUUCCUCAGUGAUGGAGCAGCAAGAAAUACAGAGAUACAGCCGGUGAGAGAGAGAGAGAGAGAGAGGAGGGAGGACACUCGAAAGCCCUACUUGAUGCUUCCUGCAUGCCAUACGGCGAGGUAGCUACUAGGUAGCAGCUAGAGGUGAGGAUGGUGCAUAGCUUUCAGUGAUGCAUGGUAGGUGAAGGAGGCUCUUUCUAGGGCACCAUCCAUCUCGCUCAAGACUCUCUCGCUCGCAAUACGUACUUUUAUGCUCACGCAAUAGAUCCACACAGGCACUAGCUAGGCACUAGCUGUGUAGUACGUGUAUGUACUCAUGUACACUAUAUAUAUUUUUACAGAUGGAUGAGAUGAUGGAGAGAGCUCUGUUGCAUGCAUGUUCUCUUGUACACACGCUCGCUCGCCAUCUGCCGAUCUGCGCCAUUGCACUACUACUAGUGCACGGGAGCUAGCUAGGGAAUGGAAGAAAGCCAAGCAAAAGAGAAGGACGGAGCAGAAAAAGGCUUGGGGACAAUGAUGAGCUUGCAGGCCAUUUUCUGAGCCUAGGGGUGCAUAGGAAAAGAAAGAACAGAAAGGCGUGUCCGUGGGGGCUCCUGCCUAAGGCUAUGCAUGCUACUACGCAUCUCCAAAAGCUUUUGUGUGCGCGCGCGCGGAAGUGCACAAGGGAGUAGCAAGCUGCCAAGGUCCAUCACUAGCCAGUGAUAACUAACCAUCUAUCUAACACCCUCACUUUCUCUCUCUAGGAUGGAUGGGGGGAGAGAGAGGAGAGCUACUCUCUUGUCAAGUGGUGGUGGUAGUAGUGGUGGUGAUGGUGUGAGAGAGGGGUGAUGUGCCACCCCAGGACAUACACCCCUCACCUACAACAGGAACAAGACCUCGCUCGCUUACAUGUAUGCUGUCACACACACUUAACGCACAUGUAUAUUUUAUACAGAGACAACACACUAGCUAGAAAUACUACGAGAGCAUAUUAUAUAUAAUAUAUAUUAUAUAUAUUAUAAACAUGUAAGUGUGUGUAGUCCCACAUCUGUAUGGUACAACUAGUCCCUUUUCUAGCUCUUGAGUUCCUUUCAUCACCGAUGUUGGGAAAGCAAGGCAAGGGCUGGGGGCAAACAUGCACCAUGAGGGCGUGAUGAAGAAAAAAAAAGGAAUAAAGAUAGGGAAAAAAGCAUCACACAACGAAAAAGAGAAGCAUAUGCAUGAA
rnacentral:lncRNA from 1 species